CUACUGGGGUUUCUAAUCCUGUUUGCUCCCCACGCUUUCGUGCCUCAGUGUCAGUGUUGGCCCAGGAUGCCGCCUUCGCCACGGAUGUUCCUUCUGAUCUCUACGCAUUUCACUGCUACACCAGAAAUUCCGCAUCCCUCUACCACACUCUAGUGAUCCAGUAUCCACUGCAAUUCCCAGGUUGAGCCCAGGGCUUUCACAACGGACUUAAACCACCACCUACGCACGCUUUACGCCCAGUAAUUCCGAGUAACGCUUGCACCCUUCGUAUUACCGCGGCUGCUGGCAC
rnacentral:rRNA from 1 species